UACGUAGGGGGGCAAGCGUUGUCCGGAAUCAUUGGGCGUAAAGCGCGCGCAGGCGGUCCUUUAAGUCUGAUGUGAAAGCCCACGGCUCAACCGUGGAGGGUCAUUGGAAACUGGGGGACUUGAGUGCAGGAGAGAAGAGUGGAAUUCCACGUGUAGCGGUGAAAUGCGCAGAUAUCAGGAGGAACACCGGUGGCGAAGGCG
rnacentral:rRNA from 1 species